rnacentral:ribozyme from 13 species
UAUCUAUUUUUUUCUUCUAAUUUCCUUUUUCCUCUUCCUUCUUUGUGUACGUAUGUUAGUAUCACAAAAGGUUGGAAACAUCAAAGAAAGAGAAAAAAUAAUGGUAAUAAUUCGGCGAGAAAUAAGAAUAAUGCACAAGAAAAAAAAAACAGAAAUUGGAGAGAGAAAUGGGUGUGUUGGGCAUAUUUUGAAACCUCUGGCAAUAUUUGGGCUGUACAUGAAUGAGGGUUUGGGUUACGGGGAGAUGGAGACGAAGAAAGACAUUGUUUGUAUAAUGUAUGAUAUACUAGUU